GGGAGAGCUCCCCAUCUCUCCUGUUUUCCAGGCGUUCCUGAGGUGAUUUUCUGGAGCUCAAAGCUUUAAG
ensembl:misc_RNA